GACUCCAUGGCCCAAUGGAUAAGGUGUUGGUCUACGAAACUAGAGAUCCUGGGUUUGAUCCCAGUGGAGUCA
rnacentral:tRNA from 1 species